UGACACAUCUCUCCUCUUUGUUCUAUGGAGGCGCGGGCAGCUGAACUUCUUCCUUUAGAACACCGUCAACAUCACCUUAGAUGUGAAAAGAACAUCAGGGAAAGCGACCAGCACUAACCUUCUUAACUCACCGUCAAAUCUACGAACCGCGACGGAGCACUGAGCGACCCCACUCCGCAAUAUCCCGAAACCGAAAAUCCUCCACACCUUCCCCACUGUCCUCAAACGGGAUCCUCACCUGGAAGGAGCAACGCUGGCUCCCGCUACUGUGUGGUGACCCGCUCCCCGUAGCUCGCCGGAUCCACCGCUUCUCAUCACGAUCUUAAAGAGAAAGCGAGCAUCCAUCUAGACCUGCACCUCACUAACAGGUCAUGUUGCUUAAUCCAACGAAGUAAACAAGAAAUCGAAGAACCCUCUCUCACAAUUCAAAAUCCAGUUCUAAUAUGAACGGAUUUGGAGCAUCUCUCAUAGAGAAUUCAUGGUAACGUGAAUUUGUUGCACCAGGUCUUUAGGAGACUUUCAGCCAAAGCGAAGAUAAACUCAUAAGUUCUCUUCUACUUGACAUGUUGCGUGAAUUAGCCUCUUCAGUUAGUUCAAAGUGAUUCUCUUCAGAGAGAUAAUAACUUUCUUGAAUGCUUAAACCUCAAAGCAAAUCUCAAUAUAUACACUAUAACCAAGAGAAGUCGCAAAUCAAUGCAAGGAGUGACAAGACAGUGAGCAUCAGUGAAAUCAAACUAAAUAGUCAGUUUUAGAUUGUUGGAAGGGUAAGUGUUCUCUUAUGUUUAAUAAAGUGACACCUGAA